AGCGAACGCUGGCGGCAGGCCUAACACAUGCAAGUCGAACGAUCCUUCGGGAUAGUGGCGGACGGGUGAGUAACACGUGGGAACGUGCCCUUUGGUUCGGAACAACUCAGGGAAACUUGAGCUAAUACCGAAUGUGCCCUUCGGGGGAAAGAUUUAUCGCCAUUGGAGCGGCCCGCGUCUGAUUAGCUAGUUGGUGAGGUAACGGCUCACCAAGGCGACGAUCAGUAGCUGGUCUGAGAGGAUGAUCAGCCACACUGGGACUGAGACACGGCCCAGACUACUACGGGAGGCAGCAGUGGGGAAUCUUGCGCAAUGGGCGAAAGCCUGACGCAGCCAUGCCGCGUGAAUGAUGAAGGUCUUAGGAUUGUAAAAUUCUUUCACCGGGGACGAUAAUGACGGUACCCGGAGAGGAAGCUCCGGCUAACUUCGUGCCAGCCGCCGCCGUAACAC
rnacentral:rRNA from 1 species